GAUGAACGCUGGCGGCGUGCCUAAUACAUGCAAGUCGAGCGAACAGACGAGGAGCUUGCUCCUCUGACGUUAGCGGCGGACGGGUGAGUAACACGUGGAUAACCUACCUAUAAGACUGGGAUAACUUCGGGAAACCGGAGCUAAUACCGGAUAAUAUAUUGAACCGCAUGGUUCAAUAGUGAAAGACGGUUUUGCUGUCACUUAUAGAUGGAUCCGCGCCGCAUUAGCUAGUUGGUAAGGUAACGGCUUACCAAGGCAACGAUGCGUAGCCGACCUGCGAGGGUGAUCGGCCACACUGGAACUGGGACACGGUCCAGACUCCUACGGGAGGCAGCAGUAGGGAAUCUUCCGCAAUGGGCGAAAGCCUGACGGAGCAACGCCGCGUGAGUGAUGAAGGUCUUCGGAUCGUAAAACUCUGUUAUUAGGGAAGAACAAAUGUGUAAGUAACUAUGCACGUCUUGACGGUACCUAAUCAGAAAGCCACGGCUAACUACGUG
rnacentral:rRNA from 1 species